AUGUGAGAUGUAAUGGGCUUCUGUAAUUAAAUGCUAAACCUUACCCCCCCCAAAAAAAAACAACAAAAACAAAACAAAACAAAAAAAAAAAAACAGAUCAAAUACAUGGUUUAGGAAGAAGUGAAAAAUGAGUGGACUUAAAAAAAUUUGCAAGCUGCCAGCAAAUUUUUACCUGGUGUAGGAGUAUUGAAAUUGCUGUCACUAAGAACUUCUUGUUACAGCCUGCGAAGAAGAGCAAGAGCUGUCUGAUACCAAAUCCUGCAGAGUUUGGAUGAUGAUAUCUACAAGGAAAGCUAGCAGCCUAUUAGGCAGGCUUCAGCUGGAGCUUUACUGAGCUGUUAAAUGAGCAGGGUUCUGCCACCUGAAGAUUUGUCGGAAGCUACAUAGACUGAAGUCUUCCCUUUCUCAAGUUCAUGCGAAGCCCCUCUGGAUGUUGAAGAAGCAAUUUUCUUAGCACAGUUGACAGACUUGCUUUUUAGAGAAAAAAACAAUUCUAUUCUUACACUCACCACAGAAAAGAAUUGCAAUUUUGCAACACACAUCUGGAAGUGAAGCUGGUAUGCUUCAUUAAGAGCCUGUUUAAUGCUAUCUGAAGUAGGCCUUGAAAAGCAUGUUAGAUUGCAGAUUGCUUUGCUGCUACCCUUAUCUUAACACAGAUCCAUUCAUGACCAAUAUAAUGUCUUCAAAGUCACAGCACUAUCUCUUACAGAGGACUACGUUAGCAGGAAAAAAAGACUUGUGUAACAGUACAUAUAUUUAGCUGUCACACUACAGCCUGCUACGCUAUCCAGAAGACAAUAUUGUUUGGCCAUUUAAUUUAUAGCUUUUACUUCUGAUCACUAGGAAAAAAAAGCCAUGCAAGCAGAAGGGGUGACUGAAUUUGUCAGGCUGCUCUCUCCCACUGAGUUAGAUGGGCAGUGUGCCUAGGACAGAGCUGCCUGGUGGCUUGUUUCUGCCCUCUAAGGAAUCUGCAGUCUUGCCCUACCACCUGAAACUACUUAGCAAUGCUUGUCCAGCCUGCUGCAGGUGCUGAUGUGUCCAAUGAUAUUUUUGAUUUCAGCUGCAAUGAAGCUGAGUUACAUAGCUAUAUUUCUCUGUUAAUCUAGCUUUUUUUUUUUCCCCAAAUCACUCAUGAAUCUUUUCUUUGAAAAACCAAUUGUAAAGGUGUCAUGAAAAGCCACAAUUAUUUAUCUGCUAAACAAACAGGGCCAGGGUGGGAAGUUACUUUUCCUCAGUGCAAUGAGGCCAAAUGCUGAGAAUUGCAACAGUUACAGAAAAAAAUAAAAAGGAACAGCCUCUGUUCUCUACAGAAGUAAAGAUUUCAUAUAGUCUUUUUAAGCCUAUGGGGUCACUGUAACGUGAGAAGGUCCCUGAAUGAGAUGCUUGAGGGAGGUGGUGGCCUCCCAAGCUGUAACUUGCUCUCACUUGUGGGUCCUCUGCCUUUCAGAAACCUGAUCUGGCAACUGAAUUGAGAUCAGAAAUAUCUACAUAUAUAACCUGUUCUCCUCCAAACUUCAGAACAUUCAACUAUCUUGUACUAAUUUUUCCUCUAUACUUGGUAACGUCAAAACUCUAGUGGUACUGACCAACCUCUGGGAACAAAGAAAACAAAUUUUAAAGAAUUCUUCGGGGAGGCUUCUAAAUACAGCCACCAAAAGGUGGAAUGGAUCAGCCUGCAGUGCCAGUUUCAUACCAGUCAAGCAUGUUAUUUUCUCCUGUUUCUCAGGAAAAUGACAGCUUUUAAUGUUAAAUGAAAAAACACCUGAGAGCAAAAGACUGGGAGAUGAACAGGAACAUGGGCAAAGGCUGUUGGUCUUUCCUCAUCUUGAGUUCCAGCAGGAAGCUGUAAUUCUUUCAUCUCGCCUAACACAGUAUUUCAGGUUUAAACACAUAUUCCUGGAAGGAAAGAAUUUUCUGAAUCCUUUUAUUCUUAGAUGAUUUCUGGAGAUAAGUAACCUCAGACGGGGGAAGCCUCAGUGCUCACAAUGACAGAACAAAUUCCCAACUGGUAAGCUGCUCAGUGCUCUUCUACUGAAUAAAAAACUGGUUGCUAAAUAUUUGCAAAGCAAGGAUAAACAUACCUAGAGCUGAUACUUGGGUAUAGACUUGUGUGACUGAGUAUUUAUGGAAGCACACUGAGGAAACUAGACCCUUGACUAAUGUCCAAACAGGUGAAUUCAGUGCUUAAUUUGGUGCUGCAUGGUCUGCUCAGAGAUUCUUGUUUCUAAUGUUACUGGAAAUUUUUGGCAGCUGGACUGGGGUUUUGCUCCAUACGUUCUACUAGGCAAGAAAACACUGACAAAAGUAGACGUAUGGAUCUUGGGUGUAAGAGUCAUGUGUGAAGACACGGCUGGAAACUCCUAUGAAGAGGCUGGAUUUCCCUGUUCUACCUGCAGCAAAUAGCAGCCUGCUGCUGUUUUGCAUCGAUUUUGUCAGCUGAAUCCCUUUUUCUUUGGCCUCCUUCACUUUGGGGGGGAAGAAAGAAACUGUUCCUGCCUCAGAGAAUAUCUGCCAUGAGAUAGUUUGCUAUAAAGGUUCUAGGCCACUCAUUGUACUACUUAGUAACAUCUGAGAAUCAAUCAUUCUGCUCUCCUUCCAUCACCAUAAGUAUAGUCCUAAUUGAAUAUAAACUUGUUUUUUCACUGUCAAUAAACAAUGAGUUCAAGAAGUUCUAUAUAA